UAGGAUUUGCCCUUCUGAGCCACCGGCCUCAAGGGACACAGGCUCAGAUCCUCAGACUAGCUCACUUUGGGAGGCCUGCUGUGUAAGUCAAAACCCGGGACAGGAAGAGGGAAGGCAGAUGACCCAGUGUGGGAUUAGAUGCUCUCAGACAAGCCAAAGUGACUGAAUGCCCAAGAGUUCGGCUUUAAUUCGUUCCACAAAUACUGACACAGGGGUAAAAACAUCUACUGUCCCCCAGGAAUUGUGGCAUUCUUAGUCUAACACCAGUCUCUCUCUCUCUCUCUCUCUCUCUCUCUCUCUCUCUCUCUCUCUCUCUCUCUCUCUCUCUCUCUGUGUGUGUGUGUGUGUGUGUGUGUGUGUGUGUUCACACAGGACUAGCCCAGACUGGGGGCCAAGAUCCAGGAAGGGUCUCCUAGGAGACCCUCGAUAGCCACCUGAAAGAACAGUGAGUUAGUGUUUUAGACCAAGGCAAUCUUGCUUGUUGGGGGGAAGCAUGUGGUCUGAGUGGCCAUCAAAAGAGCCUGCCCAGGGGCUGGAGAGAUGGCUCAGAGGUUAAGAGCACUGACUGCUCUUCCAGAGGUCCUGAGUUCAAUUCCCAGCAACCACAUGGUGGCUCACAACCAUAUGUAAUGAGAUCUGGUGCCCUCUUCCAGUGUGCAGAUAUACACGGAAGCAGAAUGCUGUAUAUAUAAAAUCUUAAAAAAAAAAAAAAAAAAAAAAAAAAAAGCCUGCCCAAAUGCCCCGGAAAAGCCAGGCUGGGGUGGGUCUGAUCUCUCCGGGGAGGGGGGGGGAGGGAGAUCAGGGGAGUGCCUUCUUUGUACCUUCCUGGUUUGGGAAGGAAUGUGCAGAAUGUGCAGGAAAGGAGACUGGUUCUGGUGUGGCCUGGUUAUCACAAAUGUCCUAGAAGACCCAUUGGGCACCUGGUGUGGCUGAUGGCAAGUUCUAGAAAGGAAAAGGGUCUGGCUUGGAGGUACAGUGUGGAGGAUGGUUCAUGGGGACAGGAUGCAUGAGGCAAUGUGCAUUGGGGCUGGAGGAGGGCAGUAUUCCAGGAAAGGAGUGGGCAGGAAGAAGGGGCAGGAGGCAGUGCUGGAAGGGAGAAACCUAAGAUCCGCAGUGAGGAGGAGAAUUAAGAAGAUGGAGUUCACAUUCAGAGCUCAGGCUGGAGAAAUCUUCUCAAUGCUGGCAAGUAACCAAGCAUACCUGUAAAGCCCAAACAACCUUUGAGGCACCAGCUUUUCGCUUGUGCAUGACUGAACCAUCAUUUCUUUAUCUGUCUCCUGUUCUUGGGCCUUGAUGUUAUUUUCGAUUGUUGACUGUUGCAAACAAUGUUGUGGUGAAAAUUCUGGAACCGACAGCUGACACACCUUCUGUACCUGUGAAAGUUUGCUCGGGACUGGACAGAUGACCCCAUGCUCACUACUGCUCUUGCAGAGGACCUGAGUUCUGUUCCUAGCACCUACAUCAGGCUCUUCACCAUCCGACACACUCGGCUUGCCCUCUAGAUUACCCACACAUCAUGAUUACAUAAAUAAUAAAAGAAAUCUUCUCAGAAAAAGAAAGAAGCUU
rnacentral:lncRNA from 1 species